rnacentral:tRNA from 1 species
GUGCCGAUGUCGCACGCCGACACCGGUGCUGUAACGCUGGCGGCGUUGCGCGACACAGGAGUGUCCGUGGAGCAGGUUUGUGCAAUGCCCGACGUCGACACG